AGUGAACGCUGGCGGUAGGCCUAACACAUGCAAGUCGAACGGCAGCACAGGAGAGCUUGCUCUCUGGGUGGCGAGUGGCGGACGGGUGAGGAAUACAUCGGAAUCUACUUUUUCGUGGGGGAUAACGUAGGGAAACUUACGCUAAUACCGCAUACGACCUACGGGUGAAAGCAGGGGGUCUUCGGACCUUGCGCGAUUGAAUGAGCCGAUGUCGGAUUAGCUAGUUGGCGGGGUAAAGGCCCACCAAGGCGACGAUCCGUAGCUGGUCUGAGAGGAUGAUCAGCCACACUGGAACUGAGACACGGUCCAGACUCCUACGGGAGGCAGCAGUGGGGAAUAUUGGACAAUGGGCGCAAGCCUGAUCCAGCCAUACCGCGUGGGUGGAGAAGGCCUUCGGGUUGUAAAGCCCUUUUGUUGGGAAAGAAAUCCAGCUGGCUAAUACCCGGUUGGGAUGACGGUACCCAAAGAAUAAGCACCGGCUAACUUCGUGCCAGCCGCCGCCGUAA
rnacentral:rRNA from 1 species